rnacentral:rRNA from 1 species
AACGGGUGAGUAACACGUGAGCAACCUGCCCCGGACUCUGGGAUAAGCGCUGGAAACGGCGUCUAAUACUGGAUACGAGCUUCAGCCGCAUGGCUAGGAGUUGGAAAGAUUUUUUGGUCUGGGAUGGGCUCGCGGCCUAUCAGCUUGUUGGUGAGGUAAUGGCUCACCAAGGCGUCGACGGGUAGCCGGCCUGAGAGGGUGACCGGCCACACUGGGACUGAGACACGGCCCAGACUCCUACGGGAGGCAGCAGUGGGGAAUAUUGCACAAUGGGCGGAAGCCUGAUGCAGCAACGCCGCGUGAGGGAUGACGGCCUUCGGGUUGUAAACCUCUUUUAGCAAGGAAGAAGCGAAAGUGACGGUACUUGCAGAAAAAGCGCCGGCUAACUACGUGCCAGCAGCCGCGGUAAUACGUAGGGCGCAAGCGUUAUCCGGAAUUAUUGGGCGUAAAGAGCUCGUAGGCGGUUUGUCGCGUCUGCUGUGAAAUCCCGAGGCUCAACCUCGGGCCUGCAGUGGGUACGGGCAGACUAGAGUGCGGUAGGGGAGAUUGGAAUUCCUGGUGUAGCGGUGGAAUGCGCAGAUAUCAGGAGGAACACCGAUGGCGAAGGCAGAUCUCUGGGCCGUAACUGACGCUGAGGAGCGAAAGGGUGGGGAGCAAACAGGCUUAGAUACCCUGGUAGUCCACCCCGUAAACGUUGGGAACUAGUUGUGGGGUCCAUUCCACGGAUUCCGUGACGCAGCUAACGCAUUAAGUUCCCCGCCUGGGGAGUACGGCCGCAAGGCUAAAACUCAAAGGAAUUGACGGGGACCCGCACAAGCGGCGGAGCAUGCGGAUUAAUUCGAUGCAACGCGAAGAACCUUACCAAGGCUUGACAUACACGAGAACGCUGCAGAAAUGUAGAACUCUUUGGACACUCGUGAACAGGUGGUGCAUGGUUGUCGUCAGCUCGUGUCGUGAGAUGUUGGGUUAAGUCCCGCAACGAGCGCAACCCUCGUUCUAUGUUGCCAGCACGUAAUGGUGGGAACUCAUGGGAUACUGCCGGGGUCAACUCGGAGGAAGGUGGGGAUGACGUCAAAUCAUCAUGCCCCUUAUGUCUUGGGCUUCACGCAUGCUACAAUGGCCGGUACAAAGGGCUG